AAGUUUUCUUUGAGGGAUUUUUUUUCUUUAUUGUACUGAAGUUGUCUUUUCUUCCAUUUUUUUGGUACCAGAGAUUAAACUCAAGACUUUGUGCUUGCGAGGCAGGCGGUGGAACCACUGAGCUAAAUCUCCAGACCUCUUCUCUCCCUUUUAAAUCCCUGUAGCAUAUGUGAGAAUUUUUCAUUUUCCCAGGGACCUUUGGCAAUGAUUAAAGAAUAGGGUCACUUGCCACUAACCUGCUCGCUGAAAAUUAGAUUCAUGUAUUUGUUCACUCAAUGAAUAUUUAUUUAACAUCUACUCUUUGAAGUAUUGUUCUAGUGGCAAACAGAAGACAAAUCACCUGCUGUCAUGGAGACUUUUUAUCUACUUGGAGAGGGACAAUAAACACAUGCAUAGGUAGACACACACACACAAACACACACACACACACACACGCACACACACACACCAGCUACUGAGAAGGGUGAUAAGGGCUAUAAAGAUAAAUAGGCUGAGGGCAAGGGGAAGGGGAGUAGUGGGACUAUUUCAUAGAGUUGUUUCUUUGUACAGGUCAGGAGGUCUUUUCUGUGGUGGUGACACUGAACAGAGAGCUGAGAAAAUGGGCAAGGCCCUGAGUGAAGGCUGGCCAGUGUCCCUGGUGCAGAUUGAGGACAUUUACUCCGGUCGUGACUGCUUUGGAGAUUUCUGGGUGUGAAUCCAGUCCAUUGCGUCACUUCUGGCUUCAGUAACCUCGGGGCCUCCAGUCUGAUCCAGGCUCGCGAGUGACACCUUUCACAGUCCUUAGGUGGACUAAGGUGAGAGCGGUGGUGUUACUAUUCAUGAAAGUUUGUCUGCAGUUUUAUUUGGUAAUUAUUUUGCAAGCUGAAAUUAUCAUAAACUCUCAGAAGCAUCAGAAGCACAGGACAGAUAACUUCUUUUCCUGGAUGCAUCUUGACCGUCAAAUAGUUGAGUGUGCGUUUCCAAGGGCAUCAUCCCACAGGGACACACAUCAGACCAGGAAGUGAAUGCAGACACAUUUUUAACAUUCUCAAACCCACCUACGUUUAUCAUUUGUCCCAACAAUGUCCUUUAUGGCGGUGGGAUCCACUUCAGAACCAUUGACUGUACUUACUAGUCCUCGGCCUUUCGUUUCCUUCAGCCUGGAGUGGUUCCUCACUCUCCUCAUGACUUCCAUGAUCUUGAUUUUUUUGAAGGUCACAGCCCAGUGAUUUUGUACAGAAAUCCUUUGAUUUGGGUUUGUCUGGUUUUCCUCACGAUGUGGCACAUUUUAUGAACCUUUAACAGAA
rnacentral:lncRNA from 1 species